AUUGAACGCUGGCGGCAGGCUUAACACAUGCAAGUCGAGCGGGGGAAGGUAGCUUGCUACCGGACCUAGCGGCGGACGGGUGAGUAAUGCUUAGGAAUCUGCCUAUUAGUGGGGGACAACAUCUCGAAAGGGAUGCUAAUACCGCAUACGUCCUACGGGAGAAAGCAGGGGAUCUUCGGACCUUGCGCUAAUAGAUGAGCCUAAGUCGGAUUAGCUAGUUGGUGGGGUAAAGGCCUACCAAGGCGACGAUCUGUAGCGGGUCUGAGAGGAUGAUCCGCCACGCUGGAACUGGAACACGGCCCAGACUCCUACGGGAGGAAGCAGUGGGGAAUAUUGGACAAUGGGGGGAACCCUGAUCCAGCCAUGCCGCGUGUGUGAAGAAGGCCUUAUGGUUGUAAAGCACUUUAAGCGAGGAGGAGGCUACUUUAGUUAAUACCUAGAGAUAGUGGACGUUACUCGCAGAAUAAGCACCGGCUAACUCUGUGCCAGCCGCCGCCGUAA
rnacentral:rRNA from 1 species